rnacentral:rRNA from 1 species
GAUGAACGCUGGCGGCGUGCCUAAUACAUGCAAGUCGAGCGAACGGACGAGAAGCUUGCUUCUCUGAUGUUAGCGGCGGACGGGUGAGUAACACGUGGAUAACCUACCUAUAAGACUGGGAUAACUUCGGGAAACCGGAGCUAAUACCGGAUAAUAUUUUGAACCGCAUGGUUCAAAAGUGAAAGACGGUCUUGCUGUCACUUAUAGAUGGAUCCGCGCUGCAUUAGCUAGUUGGUAAGGUAACGGCUUACCAAGGCAACGGUGCAUAGCCGACCUGAGAGGGUGAUCGGCCACACUGGAACUGAGACACGGUCCAGACUCCUACGGGAGGCAGCAGUAGGGAAUCUUCCGCAAUGGGCGAAAGCCUGACGGGGCAACGCCGCGUGAGUGAUGAAGGUCUUCGGAUCGUAAAACUCUGUUAUUAGGGAAGAACAUAUGUGUAAGUAACUGUGCACAUCUUGACGGUACCUAAUCAGAAAGCCACGGCUAACUACGUG